GUGGGGAAUUUUGGACAAUGGGCGCAAGCCUGAUCCAGCGACGCCGCGUGGAGGACGAAGGCCUUCGGGUUGUAAACUCCUUUUGGAGGGGAAGAAUAAAUUGACGGUACCCUCAGAAAAAGCCACGGCUAACUACGUGCCAGCAGCCGCGGUAAUACGUAGGUGACGAGCGUUACUCGGAAUUACUAGGCGUAAAGCGUAUGUAGGUGGUUAGAUAAGUCUAUGGUGAAAUUUCCUGGCUUAACUGGGAAGGGACAUAGAUACUAUCUGGCUUGAGUGUGGGAGGGGGAGACGGAAUUCCUGGUGUAGCGGUGAAAUGCGUAGAUAUCAGGAGGAACACCGAUGGCGAAAGCAGUCUCCUGGCCCAAUACUGACACUGAGGUACGAAAGCUAGGGUAGCAAACAGGAUUAGAAACCCUAGUAGUCC
rnacentral:rRNA from 1 species